rnacentral:sRNA from 20 species
GUACGCGGCUGGUGUUGCCGGCGCGUCACCAUUCUCCUCUUGUCGUUGUUGCUCCGGGGCCGUAUCCGCCCCGGUUUUUUUUU